UCAAGCAUUUUAACAGUUCCUGUGUGAAUGUUGCAGCUUUUGAAUGCAUCACUCAUGAUUAUAUCCUCCAUGUAGUAGGGCAAUUAUCUCUCUGCUCCUUUGGCAAUAUCAGCUGAUUAGACGGACAUCCCCUAACAGCCUUCAGCAAUACAUCACAAGGCAAUUCGGAUAAUUUGUUGCAUCAAUUGACAGUUCCUGUAAUCACAUUUGGUCUUGGAAAUGCACUCAUCCAAAGGUUUUUUCUAGUCCGAGCUUUCAUAUUAGCAUCGCAGCCCACACACCUUCAGACGAAAGGGAUGCGAGAGGACGGAGAUUGCCACGUAUCCUUGAGAGCAAUUUUUUAAUUUCUUGGUGCUCCAUCUGUUGAAAUGAUAAAGUGCAGCCAUAAUGGAGUGCAACAAGAUUAAAUUAAUCAGGUUUUGUCCAUUAUAGCGCCGCAGGCUCUUCACGGAUGAUUGCAAUUUUCCCUGUCAGGCCCAUUAUUGUGAGAUCUGUUUAGUGGCUUGAUGCAAUUAAAAUGGACUUAAUGUAAAUUUAACAAUACAAAUAACACUUCUGUCUGUGUAUGUUUAAGAGGGGCGCGGCUGGGGGUCCCGAAGUGCAACGGAUCUGGUUGCACGGACCACCCUCGUCUGGAUGUUGGCCGUAAGGAACACAACACCUUCCACAAGCGUAUCAUGAUGCCCAUACAUCAUUUGAACCUGAAGAGAGUGGGGGGGGUUUCCCCCGCCCCAUCACGGUGCGGGGGCCUUAUCGUGCUGCCCGCUCUCAAUAGGCAGGACCAACGCUAAGAUUUCAGAUGCUGGCCAACCUCUCUGAGGGAACAGGUGUCCCCUCUGUCUGCCUGUGGUUGGGGUCCCGUAGUGGAAGCAUGGGAAAGGGCAGCCAUCGUGGAGGUUCUACCCCAGCGGACAGACUGAAAAUCUGACGUGACACGAGAAGGAUUUGGGGCCUUGUGGUGAGCGGGUCAUUGUCAGAUCAAAAGAGCGUCGGUGUCAGCCCUGAAGCAUCCAGCUCCUCGGUGUGAUCUGGGAUCAAUGGAGCAGGUGUGGGGGGAGAACACAGGGCAGGUAAAUAUCUCGGAGGCUAACACCUUUAACUCCUCAUUAGGCACAACUUUGCAUGGACUUUGACAGAAGAAGUCCAAAGUCUUAACCAUCUGGGAGUUUAGGUCAGGAAACGACUAAUUAAUGUCCAAGUAAUGAAAAAGUAAUUCAUGUUUUUUGUGCUGCAACAGUUAGGCCAUUUAUGUUAACUCUCACUGACAAUACACUCGCCCUGUGAUCUCCUCCGUUCAUAAAGGUAGCCCCAACAUAAACAGCUAAAUCAUCAAAGUCAACCGUAGCCUCAAAGAAGCUCCGGGGUUGAGGGGGGAAAAAAGGGCAUUUGCAAAUGUCAUGCUUGACCCCUUACACGAGAAAUUCUGCGGAGUGAUAAUAUACCGAUGGGGAUGCCAUUAAAAACAGUUUCAAGCUCCUCCUGGAUUCAUUUGCACUGACCCAGAAUGCAGUAUUUUCUUAACACAAGCAGCAGGCCGCUUUGAUGUUAUCUCCCUAUCCAAACAGUGGAGGGCCGGCCGCCCCUGCCCCGCCUGUGGCCGCGGAGGACGGCGUCGAUUAAUCACAGUGAGGCCUUCCGAGGGCGCGCUCAUAAAUCGCCCCGCCGCCCCUUAAACAGGAGAGUCCCAAGGCGCAGCGCCGUCAUUUAUCAACACUCUCCCCUCCGGAUGAGGGGUAAAUAAAACUCUGAAUAUGUAACGGCGGGGUGCAGAGGGAGGGUGUCCUGGGAUGUUGAGCAUAUCCAGUGGUGUAAUGGUAAAUAAAGA